GGAGGGUCUUCCAGUCUGGUGGCUGGCGCGGUCUUCAAAACCGUCUGAAUCGUUGGAGAAACGAUUGGCAGGUUCGAUUCCUGUGACCCUCC
rnacentral:tRNA from 1 species